CAAAGUUCUCAUUUACUCUGUCUUCCUCUCAAGUCUAACCGAAGCCCAACAAACCACCACCUCGGCCAUGGCAACCACCCUCGCCACCGACGUCCGCCUCUCCAUCGCGCACCAGACCCGCUUCGCCCUCCGUCUCGCCUCCACCAUCUCAUCCGCCCUAAGUCUGCUGCCAGCAAUGCCGCCUUCUCCCCGGUCUCCCUCCACUCCGCACUUAGCCUCCUCGACGCUGGCGCGGGCAGUGCCACUCGGGACCAACUCGUCGCCACACUCGGGACAGGCGAGGUCGAGGGACUCCACGCGCUCGCCGAGCAGGUGGUCCAGUUUGUGCUCGCCGACGCGUCCUCUGCUGGAGGUCCGCGUGUCGCCUUUGCCAAUGGCGUCUUCGUGGACGCGUCGCUGCUCCUCAAGCCAUCCUUCCAAGAGAUUGCAGUGUGCAAGUACAAGGCCGAGACCCAAUCCAUGGACUUCCAAACUAAGGUGACCCCCCCCCCCAACUUGGUUCUUACCAGAAAACAAAAACAAUGUAAAAGAAUUUUUAACGGACCUAAUUAUGUACAUUUGAGAGAAACAAUGACAUGCUUAACUAACUACUUCAGCCGCCUGUACAUGUUGGCAUGCCACUGCUUCACUCAGAGAGUUUGUUUUCUGCUGAUGUAAUAUAGAGGUCUAUAUUAAUCUUAUACACAUUCUAGAUUUGUAAUUUAGUGGUUAUCGUAUAUCACUGUUUUUUACACUAGAAGCUUCACCUUUGUAAGCAUAGUUCACACCUGCGACCUUGAACUGUGAAUGAUUUUGCUUAUCCUGUUAGUCAGCAUGAUUGGAGAUAACUAGUCUGUUACUUUUCUGAGCAUACCUAAUCUUUUGGGAGUGUAAUUCUCAUACCGUGCUAUCUAGGGAUAUGAAGGCUGGGGAAUUUGCUGAUGUUUUAUACUUUAAUUACGCUCUUCAGCGAAGUGAGAUUAUAAUUUUGGGAGUAUUUCCUGGAAACUUUGUCUCCAACGUAAGAAGAUGUACAAAAAAUCAGCUAAAGAUUAUAAUUUUGGGAAUAUUUCUGUAAAAGGUAUUGCAUAGUGGUGCUUCGAGAUGUUGUGAUGACCAUUUAAAUUUGUAUGCUCAUAUGAAUUGUUUUUCUAUCAUACGUCGUUGUAUGUGCUGAUUUUACUAUGUGUUUGAAAAUUUUACUAUAGAAAUGCUUUAUAAAAACGCUAGUAUGCUGCUUUGCAUUCUUAGCACAACUAUUAUAUUUUGUUCUUUGAAAGAAUUUUCUAUUGGUUUGUUCAAAGGUUGGUGGCACAGCAGUACCGUCAAACUAUUUUCAUUACAUAACUGACCUUUGUUUAUUUUUUCCAUGGCCCAGGCCGCUGAAGUUACUACUCAAGUGAACUCAUGGGUAGAGAAAGUCACGAGCGGUCGCAUCAAGGACAUUCUCCCCUCAGGAUCUAUUGACAAUACCACUAAACUUGUUCUUGCCAAUGCCCUUUAUUUCAAAGGAGCUUGGACAGAGCAGUUUGAUUCAUAUGGAACAAAAAACGACUACUUCUACCUUCUUGAUGGGAGCUCAGUUCAAACACCAUUCAUGUCCAGCAUGGAUGACCAAUACCUUUUGUCUUCUGAUGGGUUGAAGGUACUUAAGCUUCCUUACAAGCAAGGUGGGGACAAUAGGCAGUUCUCCAUGUAUAUCCUUCUUCCAGAAGCACCGGGUGGUCUCUCAAGCUUGGCCGAAAAAUUGAGUGCUGAACCAGACUUCCUGGAGCGGCAUAUCCCAAGGCAGAGGGUUGCACUUAGGCAAUUCAAGCUCCCCAAGUUCAAGAUAUCAUUUGGAAUUGAAGCAUCCGAUUUGCUCAAAUGUUUGGGCCUCCAGCUUCCAUUCGGCGAUGAAGCGGAUUUUUCGGAGAUGGUGGAUUCCCUAAUGCCACAAGGUCUUCGUGUCUCAUAUGUUUUCCACCAAGCGUUUGUGGAAGUGAACGAACAAGGAACUGAGGCUGCAGCAUCAACUACUAUUAAAAUGGUCCCGCAACAGGCAAGGCCGCCCUCGGUCAUGGAUUUCAUCGCGGAUCACCCUUUCCUCUUCCUUCUCCGGGAAGACAUCUCUGGUGUGGUCCUAUUCAUGGGUCAUGUGGUCAAUCCCCUCUUAUCUUCGUAAUGUGUUUGCUCUGAAAGUGUGUGUUGUCAGUUGCCCUCAGCCAUUACAUGUAAGGGAAGGGUUUCGACGGUCAGUCAUGUUACCGAUACAAUAAAUCCAAUAAAUGGUUCUCCUAAGAUAUCCAAUAAAUUGUCUUUUAAUAACUGCUUGCUUGUUGUGCAAAGGAAAACCAAUUGGACUAUUUUUCAUUAAUCAUUGUGGAUUUGUGGUAGUGCGGAUUUCUCAAAGAACUACUCAUGCCAAAAGAAAAAAUCUAAGUCAUCUUGAUUAGUACUAUCCGACAUGAAUCUCAUCGUCAUUAACAUCUAUAUUUCACAAAAAAAUGCCAAUGGCCACUUUUUGAGAUUGAAUAUGCUCUUCAAUUUCUCUUCUUCUUAGAUUUUUCAUAUCCUCGCUUAUCUUUAGAUACACUAUAACUCCUUGAGAUUGGAGCUCCCAGGGCCGAUUGUGUUGAUCGAUUUACAUGGCCCCACAUGAACGGACGUGACCUUCCACGCUACCCUCUUCCUUGCCGCAGAUCCUUCCUCAGUUUCUCUCCCUUCCGAGAAUCUAUUCCGACAUAGAGACAACGCCUCCAGCACUAUAGUUGGUGCGGCCGACCGCUUUCUGGCUCUCCUCUCCGAUUCCCUGCCUCAGAGCAUCUACAGCCUCAAACACGGUGUGUCUGCGGGCACUGAUCGGUCACUUCACAAAUUGGCAUCUACAUUCGUGUAUUUCAUAUCAGAUCUCCUAUAUCCAUACUAAACUAUGUAGCAUUGAUCAAACUACGUAUAUCAUCAAACGGACAAAAAAUGCACUAUACGUUCAUCAAAAGAUCAUCAACGGAUCUUCGAAAUACCGCCAAAGUUCACAUAGUGCACAUAAAUGACGGACAACUUUAAACUACGUCUAAAAACUGAGCGGAUCUUCAUCACUUCCUCGCCGGAACUUUCCCUUUUCGGUCGCCAGCACAGCUGUAGGCGUCGGCGGCUGGUGGAGGAUCGUCCGAGUCGUCGGACGAGGCGCCGUGGUCGUCACUAUCGUCAGAGGAGGAGCAGAGGAUGAUGAGGCGUUUGAGGCGCCGGACGGCCCGGUCCUGCUGCCGUUUGAGCUCCGCCAGCCGAGCCGCCUCCAAUGCUUUCUCCUCUGCCUCGCGCUCGAACUGCUCGAUGGCAAGCCGGAGCACCUUGGCGUUCUUCCAGCGGAGCUGCCGAUCAUCCGUCUCCGCUGUCGUAAGCGACCGGCAGUAGACCCAAGUGGGGAACCGCUCGUCCCCGUCGAGCUCCGCCGGAAACCCGCGGCGGCGGCGGACAUAUUACUCCUCCGCGUCCCUCUCCCUUGCCCGCUGCCUGCGGUGGCGGGCGUCGGACAGAUUUCUCCGCCGCGUCCCUCUUCCUUGCUCGCUGCCUGUCGUGGCGGGCGGCGCGCGCCUAGCGUGCAUGCCGCGCUCGCUGGGCGGGCACAAGUACCCACCGCUACCCAUGUGGGGGAGCAGCAGCCGACGAGGACAGGGGAUAGUGUGGGGGAGGCGCGGACUGCGCAGCCCUCGUGGCGCUGCGUGUGGGCCGGGAGGGGCCUGCGCCGGCGUCCUCGCUGCGCUGGAAGGGGAGAGGUGAGGCGGCAGAUCCGGAACUGACCUCCGUGUCCACCUUGGACCUCUCGACGGCAAUGCGGAGAGCCAGCACCUCGUCGAUGUUGACGUCAGAGUCGGAGCGGCUGCCGGAACUAGACAUGGUCGCCGGAGUCGUUUGACUGAAUCGAAUCUGGGAAAUCCGAGGAGGAGAAGAGAUGAAACGAGAGCGGAGCGAGGUAGGGUUUUCGAUUGGGGAUAUUUGUGGUGACGGCGUGGGGCCGGUGUGGACCGGGCUACCAUGGCGGACGCACCCGGGGCGCUCGAUAUCCGCCCUAGAUUUGAUCUGAAUAUGAGGGGAGUGAGACAGUCCAAGCAUUUGAGGCUUGUUUGAGGACACGUCUGGAUCAAAUUUUCAUGCUCGGUCAAUGAUCGCGCCAUCCGUCCGGACGUUUGAGACGGAUUUAGAAUGCGCGCCUGUAGAUGCUCUCGGCCUCAAUCUUUCGCCUCCAAACGUUCCCCCGCGACCAACCCAAUCCAGGCCUCGUUCACCGUCUAGCAGUCGUCUGCGCCGCCUCCCGCAAUUCCUCCGACCUCCGGUGCAACACUUCAUGUAACUUCCCUGGAUCAUCGCGCUUCCCGCGCCGUCUCGUCGACAGUCGACGUGCGCUUCUCAUGUUCAAUUUUUCAAGGAUAGUGUCACCGCUUUUUUCUCAUAGUGUUUGGCUGCUCGAUCACCUGGCCGCUGUUAAUCUCAUCUCGGUGAUGCAGCAAACAAAGGAGAGUGCGGGUCUGCAGUUCAAGGUCAGACUGCAGUGCAACUGUGCAAUGUAAGUUUGACUGACACGCUUGGAUCUGCCGCGUCUUUGUGCUGGGUGCUAGUCGCUGCCCUGCUAGAUGCAUGGAAGAGUUGCAUGUAUACACACCGGUGUUGAGCGUUGGUGGCCUCAUUGGUGACUGUCGUGGUUCUAAGUCUGACAAUAGAAUGGGGGGUAAGUAUGGAAAGGCAAGGUCCUAGCUAUGGAGUAGUUGUACACACGGGUGUUUAGCGAGUUUAGACCCUUCUCUGAGGAAGUAACAGCCCUACGUCUCGGAGCCCGGAGGCGGUCGACUGAUCUCUAUGUAUAUGAGUUACAGAAGUGCGAACCUUUCUACCAGUGGAGGGGGGUGGCUUAUAUAGAGGACGCCAGGACCCCAGCCAGCCCACAUAGAGGAGGGUUAAAGUACAUUAAGGCUGGGCGUUACUGGUAACGCCCUAUAUAAAGUGUCAUCAUGACCAUUAAGACUAUUUAAUUACAGACCGUUUGGAUGCAGAGUAGAUCCUGAACUUCCGAUAGUCGAGUGCGUCUUCAUGGUCGAGUGUCUUCUAGCUAGUCGGGUGGAGUCUCCCUUGGUAGAGUGGAGCUUCUUUUGGUCGACCGGAAGGUAGCUUCGUAUGAUAAUGUCCUUUGGCAUGGUAUCCUAGAUAGGUCCAUGACCCUAACCUAGGUACAUAACCUCAUCAUUAGCCCCCGAAUGGAUCGAGGUUCGAGUGAGGAAGGAGUUGACGAUUUUCUCCGACUUAUUUACUGUACUUUGAUUGUGUCGUAUCUUGGAUCGGCGAUUCUUCUUUCGGCGCUGGCGUCGACUUUUACUUCAGUCGCCUUGAUCCAUUCUUAUCUUUUGUCGAGUGAACUUUUGAACUCCGGUGAACUUACGAGCGACGGAUCGCGGGAAGGAUAUCGUCUGACAGAUUGAUCUGCUGUUAGCGGAUUUUGCGGGAUCUGAAAUUUGGGAAGCGCACGAAGCGGGGCAAUCCGCGGCAAUCGGGCGGGAUAAGGCAUGGACGCCUUGAUUUCCGCGUCGCCUUUUUCGCCACGUAUCGUACGUGUGCGACUGUUUCGGGAUGUGACAGAUCUGCUCGGACCCACUCGUCAGCCACUCGGAAGCGCCCUUAUAUAAAGCGUCGGGGAAGAGUUUUUGAACAGUGCCUCCCCAUUCUCCUCUCUUCCCUCUCUGCCUCCGCCCACGGCGCCUGCUCCUAGCUCCGCCUUAUCCACCUCUCGAGCGCUUCGCCGACGAUAAUGGUGAAGGAGAAGACGGCGGUUCUAGAGCGCGCGAAGAAGGUGACGGCGACGGGGCAAGCGAAGGGGAGACCGUCCAGUCGGGGCGGAUCUUCGUCGAGGUCCCGCCUGCCGAAGGGUUGGGUCCAAGGGGAUUGGAUCCGCUCGACCAUCACUGGGAAGGACCUCGACGACCUGGCCAAUGAGGGACUGAUCCCCCACGGGUCAGCAAGGCCCCCGGGGUCCGAGUGUCAACCGCAGCCGCAGGAGGGUGAGCGCGUUCUCUUAGCCACUCACGUAGAUCGUGGUUUUUCUCUGCCGCCGAGUGUGUUCUUCCGUGGGUUUCUGAAAUUCUUUGGGGCGCAACUCCACCAUUUCAAUCCCAAUUCCAUCGCCUAUCUUGCUGCCUUUGUGUCCAUGUGCGAGAACUUCCUGGGUUGUCGACCGCACUGGGGUCUCUUCAAGCACAUAUUCACCUGUCGGUCGCAGACCGUAAAAAAGGCGAGCUCGGGUGAUGAGAGGACCAAGGUUAUUCAGAUGUGCGGGGGUCUUGGGAUUCAGUUGAGGAAUAAGAGCACUUUCCCGGCCAUGACCCUUCCUGAGUCGGUCAGAGGGUGGCAGUCGACUUGAUUCUACUGCCAAGACGAGUCGACGCCGGGGCAGUCGACUGGUCUCCCUCCGUUCUCCAUGGACCGAGUGGUCAAACCGUCUUCUCUGAAGGUGCUUCCUGAGGAGAAAGCCGAGGUAAAAAUGUUGGUGGAGCGCAUGGUCCAACUCGUUCGGGACGGAGUGACGGGCAUGGAUCUUCUGAAAGUAUUCCUUAGGCGGCGCAUCCAACCGCUCCAGUAUCGAGGCCACCCGAUGUGGUUGUACUGCGGUACCGAAGACACCACUCGGGUCCAUCCAGAGGCAGUCGACGACGCCACGCUGGAGAGGUGGGUGACCUCCAUCACAGGGAACAAGGACAACCGUCGAGGAGUGAGGAGGAUCCCGCCACUCGACUGUACCUAUACGCCGGACAAGGUAUGGCCGCUUAUCUCCGAGUGUAAUUUUGUUUUAUCCAUUCUGCUUUGCCACAAAUUGGUCGAUUGAUCUUUGUUUUGCUCUGUUGUCUGAUAGGCCACCACUGAAUUGUACUCGAUUCCCAAUGGGGCGCAGACGCCGACUGAGGAGGAGGAAGGAAGCGGGGGCGAAAGCCCGGAGGAGUGGGAUUCAGAUGUCGACGACGACGAUGAGGGUGAUGACUCUAGUGAGGAGGAAGAAGAGGAGGAAGAGGAGGAAGUUGCACCUCCCCGCUCGGAAAGACGCUCGAAGCUUGCCCAUGAUCCAGCGACUGAGCGGGGUAAGGGGGUCGCAACCGCUUCUCAGUCGACCAAGCGCCCUCGGACCACUUCUCCGGCGCCGACUGAGAAGGCUCCGAAGCAAUCUCGAGUGGCACCGUCGAAGCCUGCAAAGGUCUUGCCGAAGAUGAAGAUGGUGAUCCCCACUAUCUCAGGGUAAUGGUAGUUUUGAGCUUUCCCUGUUUCAUGAACUUGUUCUUGGUCGACUCAUGGUCCAAUCGACUGACUUUUGGAACUGCAGCGUUGCUACUUCCGACACUUCGGCGAGAGCCGAAGACCACGAGAUGGAGGAUGCUGCAACCUCGAACCCUGGUAUGACUCCUGCGUUGCCGUUUUCAGUCGACUGACUCAUUGUCUCUAAUUUUUAUUCUUUCUGCAGUUUCAUCUAACAUUGUUAUUGACCUUCCUGACGACGACGAUGAAUAACCACCACGGCCGAGGAAAAGCAAGAAAACGUCGGCUGGCAAGGCGACUCAGGAUGUGCCGGCACCCGAGACGUUAGUCGUGGAGGGAGACAAUGUCACUCGACCCACCGUAACCUUCGCGGUGCCGUUGAUGAGUGCUCGCCCUUCAUCGUCGAGUGCUGCUCAACCCUCGCUUUUCUCCACCUACCCCGUUCCAGAAGACCAAGCCAGUGCUGCCAAAGAAGCGAUACGCCAGGCGGGGGUCAUGAUGGAGCAAGUGAAGGCAAUUCGAGAAGCCAGCCAGGCAGCCUAUGACGCCAGUUCGGCACUCCAGAGUAAUGUUCAGGUCAGUCGGUCACUGCCUGUUCUUCUUUCUGAAAUUCCUAGAGUCUGUCCUACACCCAGUGGGUGUGUGUCGAUUAAAAUUCCGGGUUAGUGGGGGCACGCUGAGUGCACCCACUGGGUGUAGUCCCCAAGGCUAUGGUGGACUGCUGGCAGUCGACCAUAGUCUUAAUGCUUUGAGUUUUUCUUUACUCGACAAGGUCGAAUAGAUUCAUAGACCGGUGGGGGCACGCUGAGUGCACCCACUGGGUGUAGUCCCCGAGACUGUGGUCGACUGCUGGCAGUUGACUAUAGUCUAAAGAACAUUGCCUCUCUUUUUUUUGUUGGUCGACUAGUCGACUCUUGAUGAAACUAGUGGGGGCACGCUGAGUGCACCCACUGGGUGUAGUCCCCGAGACUAUGGUCGAAUGUUUGCAUUCGACCGUAGUCUUAGAAACGCUAUGAUUUUUCCUUACUCACUCGGAAGUGAAUUUUCUUUGACGUCUGUCGAUUGAUUCUUCGUAGAAAUCAUGUGACCUUGUGGCUCGUUAUACUGAGUUGGAGAACAAACACAUUCAGCUCGAGCUCGAUCUGAAACUGGCCCAAGAGACCUUGACGAAGGCGAAGGAGGAAGCUAAAGGUAUGCUUGGUGAGGCCUUUGACGACUGCCUUUGCCUCUCACUUGUUUCCGAAUCUGAUCUCACUGUAACUUUGUAGGCAAAGUGAUGGACGCCCUGAAGAAACAAGAGCUUGACUUGGCUGAGAUGCAAAAGACUGCUUUAGAGAAGACCAGGCUAGCGGAUGAGAAGCUGGCUUCAGUGACUAAGCUUGAAGAAGAAAACACCAAUCUGAAAGCUGCUCUUGAUGCUGCCAACCAGGAGGUCACUUAACUGAAAAGCGACAAGACCACCCUGAAUGACAAGGCCAGUGAGUUGAAGAGAAAGAAGAAUGAUCUAGAGGCUUAUCUGGGUGGACUCGCCAAGAAGUUGUUCCUCAUGCUUGAAGGUAAUCCUUUGUAUCGAACAAAUAUUUUAAUUGUAACCUCUGACUGUUUGUCUUGACUCGGUGGUUGUGCUUGCAGAAUUUUGUCAGAACUUUGAAGAGGAGACUGGUCGACUGGAAGUGAACCUGGACCCCAUCAACUCUCCUGUGAAAGAUGAAGUUGCCAUGAACAUGCUCCGACUUGAAUCUCGUGUUGCUGCUAUCAUCGAUUAUCUCGCAAGGCUGAAGGUCGCAACUUCCUGCAUCGACACAACACUCUGGCCAAGAGAGACACUCCAGAACGACCUCGAGUCUCUGAUGACUCGACUGAACGAGGUCCCAAGUCGAGUGCAGGAGUGGAAGAAGUCUUCGGCCAGGUGUGGCGCGGAUGUUGCUCUAUCUCUGGUCCGCGUUCACUGCAAGGAUGCAUGAGAGGACAAGCUGGUGGCUCUCAGGGUGGCCAACACCAAGAAGCACGAUUUCAGAUCCUUCAUGGAGACCUUCAUUGCCGCUGCCACUCGGAUUGCAGAUGGAAUCGAUCUGGACGAGUUUGUGGCACCUUCCAGCCCUCCACAGGAGGGGUAAAAAACUUUUGAGCUUGAUACUUUAAAUUUGCCUCGGUAUGCCGAGUGAGUUUUGUAACCGACAAACCUUAACAGGCCUAGCGCCUGAGCACUUUCGGUUCCGCUAGGUGUUAUCCAAACUUGGGUUCGUCGCUGAAUAUGUUUGCAUUUGGUUUGAGGCGUCUUUUGCAGGUUAAAGCGAAGCGCUUAUUGCCAUCGACUUGUCCCCCAAUUCACUUAGGCGGGCACUGGGCUGCAGCUAAGUCCCCGAGCGAGAGGUUUUCCCUCCACUCGGUAGGAUUUCAGACACUUAGGCGAGCACUGGGCCGCAGCUAAGCCCCCGAGUGGGAGGUCUGCUCUCCACUCGGUAGGAUUUCAGAAACUUAGGCGAGCACUGGGCUGCAGCUAAGCCCCCGAGUGGGAGGUCUGCUCUCCACUCAGUAGGAUUUCAAACACUUAGGCGAGCACUGGGCUGCAGCUAAGCCCCCGAGUGGGAGGUCUGCUCUCCACUCGGUAGGAUUUCAGACACUUAGGCGAGCACUGGGCUGCAGCUAAGCCCCCGAGUGGGAGGUCUACUCUCCACUCGGUAGGAUUUCAGACNNNNNNNNNNNNNNNNNNNNNNNNNNNNNNNNNNNNNNNNNNNNNNNNNNNNNNNNNNNNNNNNNNNNNNNNNNNNNNNNNNNNNNNNNNNNNNNNNNNNNNNNNNNNNNNNNNNNNNNNNNNNNNNNNNNNNNNNNNNNNNNNNNNNNNNNNNNNNNNNNNNNNNNNNNNNNNNNNNNNNNNNNNNNNNNNNNNNNNNNNNNNNNNNNNNNNNNNNNNNNNNNNNNNNNNNNNNNNNNNNNNNNNNNNNNNNNNNNNNNNNNNNNNNNNNNNNNNNNNNNNNNNNNNNNNNNNNNNNNNNNNNNNNNNNNNNNNNNNNNNNNNNNNNNNNNNNNNNNNNNNNNNNNNNNNNNNNNNNNNNNNNNNNNNNNNNNNNNNNNNNNNNNNNNNNNNNNNNNNNUAAGCCCCCGAGUGGGAGGUCUGCUCUCCACUCGGUAGGAUUUCAGACACUUAGGCGAGCACUGGGCUGCAGCUAAGCCCCCGAGUGGGAGGUCUGCUCUCCACUCGGUAGGAUUUCAGAAACUUAGGCGAGCACUGGGCUGCAGCUAAGCCCCCGAGUGGGAGGUCUGCUCUCCACUCGGUAGGAUUUCAAACACUUAGGCGAGCACUGGGCUGCAGCUAAGCCCCCGAGUGGGAGGUCUGCUCUCCACUCGGUAGGAUUUUUGAAUUGGUGGCGCAACUCGGAAGGAGAGGGUAGCAGUCGACCUGCACCUCGUCCUCCUUGCGGAACGCAUGUUGUACUUGUACUUAGGCGAGUUCUUGGACUGCAGCUAGGCCUCCGAGUGGAAGGCUGGCUUACCACUCGGUAGGAUUUUAUUUAUCUUAGGCGAGUACUUGGACUGCAGCUAAGCCUCCGAGUGGAAGGCUGGCUUACCACUCGGUAGGAUUUUAUUUAUCUUAGGCGAGUACUUGGACUGCAGCUAAGCCUCCGAGUGGAAGGCUGGCUUACCACUCGGUAGGAUUUUAUUUAUCUUAGGCGAGUACUUGGACUGCAGCUAAGCCUCCGAGUGGAAGGCUGGCUUACCACUCAGUAGGAUUUUAUUUAUCUUAGGCGAAACGGAUUUUACAGCUAAGCCUUCGUGUGGGAGACUGACUCACCACUCGGUUAGGAUUUGUUUUUACAGACUUAGGCGAAUCGGAUUCGCAGCUAAGCCACCCACUGGGGGAUUGUUUUAUAUGGACAAAAGUAAUAACAAUCACUGGGAAAACUAUAAAGCUCUUGUCUUUGAUAAAUAAACUACAGGAGUACUUUUAUUACAACUCAUCCGAGUGAAUACCUAAGUGUAAAAGGGGCGGAGAAGCUCCGCGUUCCAAGCUCGGGGCUCGUCAAUCUGAUGCUUGACAUUGUAAAGACGGUAUGCUCCAUUGUGGAGAACCUUGGUGACCAUGAAGGGACCUUCCCAAGAAGGAGCAAGCUUGUGUGGUUUCUGCUGGUCCACUCGGAGAACUAAAUCUCCUUCCUGGAAGGCUCGACUCUUCAUGUUUUUGGCGUGGAAGCGACGCAAGUCUUGUUGAUAAAUGGUCGAUCUGAUCAGAGCCAUCUCUCUUUCUUCCUCUAAAAGGUCGACUGCGUCCUGCCGCGCUUGUUCUGCUUCAGCUUCGGUGUAGAGCUCGACUCGGGGAGCGUUGUGGAGAAGAUCACUCGGCAAGACUGCUUCAGCUCCGUAGACCAAGAAGAAUGGAGUUCUUCCAGUCGACCGGUUGGGUGUGGUCCUUAACCCCCAAAGCACCGAGGGAAGUUCGUCAACCCAUGCACCAGCCGCAUGCUUGAGAUCACGCAUCAAACGGGGCUUCAACCCUUUGAGAAUUAAACCGUUGGCUCAUUCUGCCUGUCCAUUCGUCUGCGGAUGGGCAACUGAAGCAUAGUCGACUCGCGUGCCUUGAGACGUGCAGAAAGCUCUGAAUUCUUCAGAAUCGAAGUUUGACCCGUUAUCAGUGAUGAUGUUGUGCGGGACUCCAUAUCUAAAUAUCAGUUCUCGGAUGAAGCUGACAGCGGUACCAGCAUCGAGGUUCUUGAUGGGUUUGGCCUUAAUCCACUUGGUAAACUUGUCGACUGCUACCAGCACAUGUGUGAAACCGCUUCUUCCUGUUCUCAAUGGGCCAACCAUAUCCAAACCCCAUACAACAAAGGGCCAGACAAGUGGUAUGGUCUUUAAGGCUGAGGCAGGCUUGUGUGACAUAUUGGAGUAAAAUUGACAUCCCUCACACUUGUCGACUAUCUCCUUCGCCAUUUCAUUCGCUCUGGGCCAAUAAAAACCAGCUCGGUAUGCUUUGGCCACGAUGGUCCGAGAAGACGCAUGAUGGCCACAGGUCCCCGAGUGGAUGUCAUUGAGAAUCAUUCGACCUUCCUCCGGUGUUAUGCAUUUCUGGCUGACUCCAGUCGCACUUUCUCUGUACAACUGACCUCUCAUGACGGUGAAGGCUUUGGACCGGCGGACGAUCUCUCGAGCUUCUUCUUCAUUCUCGGGGAGUUCCUUCCUCAAAAUAUAGGCGAUGUAGGGCACUGUCCAAUCGGGAGUGAUGACCAAAACUUCCAUGAUCAAGUCGACCACCGCUGGGACCUCGACUUCAGUCGGAUCUGUGGCGCUUUUAGGCUGCGGGGCUUCUGCAGUGAAAGGAUCCUCUUGAACCGAUGGCGUGUAGACAUGUUCCAAAAACACGCCACUCGGAAUGGCUUCCCUCUUGGAACCUAUCUUUGCCAAGUCAUCGGCUGCUUGAUUUUUCAGUCGGGGAACGUGAUGGAGUUCUAACCCUUCGAAUUUCUUUUCAAGCUUCCUCACUGCAUUGCAGUAUCUAGUCAUGGAUGGGCUUCUCACGUCCCACUCCUUCAUCACCUGAUUGACCACCAAAUCUGAGUCGCCGUAAACCAUAAGGCGACGGACGCUGAGUGAAAUGUCCAUGCGCAACCCAUACAACAGUGCUUCAUAUUCUGCUUCAUUGUUGGAGGAAUCAAAGUGGAUCUGGAGCACAUAUCUGAGCUUAUCUCCUCGGGGAGAAACCAAAACUACCCCAGCACCAGAACCAUUUAACAUCUUAGAGCCAUCAAAGAACAUGGUCCAAUGCUCCGAGUGAACUUGAGUCGGCUGCUGCUGUUCAAUCCACUCGGCAAGGAAAUCUGCUAUAGCCUGGGACUUAAUGGCUUUCUUUGCCUCGAAUUUGAUAUCAAGGGGAAGGAGUUCAAUCGCCCAUUUAGCCACUCGACCAGUUGCAUCUCUGUUGUGCAGAAUCUCCGACAAUGGUGCGUCGCUGACGACUAUAAUGUCAUGAUCAGAGAAAUAAUGAGCAACCUUCUUCAUGGUCAUGUAGAUCCCAUAUACGAGCUUCUGAUAAUGAGGAUAUCUUUGCUUCGAUCGGGUCAAAACUUUAGAGAGAUAAUACACUGGGCGCUGAACUUUGAAGGCUUUCCCUUCUACUUCCCGCUCGACCGUAAGUAUUGUACUGACGACUUGUCCUGUGGCUGCAAUAUAAAGCAACAGUGGCUCUUUACUGAUUGGAGCGGCAAGCACCGGCUAGGUGGAGAGCAGAGUUUUUAACUCGGCAAACGCUGCAUCAGCUUUUGGAGUCCACUCGAACUUGUCUGCCUUCUUCAUCAGUCGGUAAAGGGGCAACGCCUUUUCACCGAGGCGAGAGAUGAAUCGACUUAACGCGGCCAGGCAUCCAGUAAGCUUCUGGACAUCGUGCACACGCACAGGGCGUUUCAUUCGGAGUAUGGUGCCAACUUUUUCUGGGUUAGCAUCGAUUCCUCGUUCCGAAACGAGAAAACCGAGUAACUUCCCACCAGGUACUCCGAAUGUGCACUUUGAAGGAUUGAGCUUGAUAUCAUACCUCCUGAGAUUGGCAAAUGUUUCAGCUAAGUUAGUCAACAGGUCGGAACCCUUUCGCGACUUGACCACGAUAUCAUCCAUGUAUGCUUCCACAUUCCAACUAAUUUGAGUGAGUAAACACUUUUGAAUCAUUCUCAUGAAUGUGGCUCCGGCAUUCUUGAGGCCGAAAGGCAUGGUGAUAUAGCAGAAGCACCCGAAUGGGGUGAUGAAAGCUGUUUUGAUUUCAUCGGGCCCAUACAGACGGAUCUGAUGAUACCCGGAAUAAGCGUCCAGAAAAGACAAUCUCUCGCACCCUGCGGUCGAGUCGACAAUUUGGUCGACGCGAGGGAGAGGAAAAUGAUCUUUCGGGUAGGCCUGAUUGAUAUGUUUGAAAUCAAUGCACAUACGAAGGGAAUUGUCCUUUUUGCGAACCAUAACGACAUUGGCGAGCCACUCGGAGUGGUAUAUCUCUCGGAUGAACUCUGCUGCAAGGAGUCGAGCCACCUCUUCGCCAAUGGCUUUUUUGUUCUGAACAGCGGACCGUCGAAGAUGUUCUUUAACGAGUUUUGCCUUUGAAUCGACUCUAAGGCGAUGCUCAGCCAGUCCCCUGGGAACACCUGGCAUGUCAGCUGGCUUCCAUGCGAAGAUGUCCCAGUUCUCACGGAGGAACUGGAUGAGCGCUUCUUCCUAUUUAGAGUCGGGUGUAGUGGAAAUAUGGGUCGGAGCUGCAUUGGGGUCAGUCGGGUGGAUGUGAACUGGCUUCGUCUCACCGGACGACUGAAAUGCUGACUCUGUGGCGGGCUUCUUGGCUCGCAGUAAAUCACUCGGAUCUGCGUUCUUCUUGUACCCCUCUAGCUCUAUCACUGUUAUCUGGUCAUCCGCAAUCUUUGAGCCUUUCUGGAAACACUCUUCUGCUUUCUUCCGGUUACCAGUGACGGUGAUCACGCCUUUGGGGCCAGGCAUCUUUAACUUGAGGUACACGUAACAUGGUCGAUCCAUGAAGCGGGCGUAGGCUGGUCUUCCCAAGAUAGUGUGGUAGGCGCUCUGGAAAUCCACGAUUUCAAAUGUCAGCUUCUCUUUGCGGAAAUGCUUCGAGUCACCGAACACCACAUCCAGAGCUAUUUGGCCGAGUGACUCAGCCUUCUUUCCUGGGAUGACUCCGUGAAAACUCAUGUUGCUGGAACUGAGCCUGGACAUCGGAAUGCCCAUUCCCUUGAGCGUCUCUGCAUAUAGUAUGUUCAACCCGCUGCCGCCAUUCAUCAAUACCUUCGUCAGUCGAGUGCCUUCGACGACCGGGUCGGCCACCAGUGCUUGCCUCCCAGGGGUGGCAAUAUGAGUAGGAUGGUCCGACUGGUCGAAAGUAAUGGGAGUUUGCGACCAUCUCAGAUAGUUUGGUGUUGCUGGUGCGACCAUAUUGACUUCACGGUUGAUCACUUUCAGUCGACUUUUGCUCUCUACAUCAGCAAAAAUCAUCAGAGUGAAGUUGACAUGAGGGUACUCACCAUCACUGUCCUGCUUGUCCUCAGCCUUGUCUGACUCCUUCUCUUUGUCCUUCAGCUGUUUCCCUUGGAACUGCUGGAUUAAGAGCCGGCACUGGCGAGUGGUAUGCUUUGGGUAGAUGAAGUUACCCUCUUCGUCUUUCUUCGUGUGGAUAUGACACGGCAGGUCCAUCACAUCAUUACCCUCCUUAUCUUUUACCUUCUUGGGGUUCCAAGAUCCUUUGGGCUUCCCUUUAAAUUUGCCCUGUGUCACGGCUAGAGCCUCUCCAGGAGCUGCUGGCUCGGCCUUCCGCUUCUGCUUCCGACUGGAGUUUCCUUUAUCCGACUAACUCGGCUUGUACUUGCCGCUCCGGAGUCGGUCCUCUUCUUCGCCGUUGGCGUACUUGGUGGCUAUUUCCAUCAUCCGACUCAGGGUCAUGUCUCCAGUUCGACCAAACUUCAGGCUCAACUCUUUGUUCUUGACGCCAUCUUUGAAGGCGCAAACCGCUUGAUGGUCCGACACAUUCUCUACAGUGUGAUGCAAAGUGAUCCACCUCUGGAUGUAAUCCCUCAGUGUUUCACUCGACUUUUGUACACAAACUUGUAGCUCAGUUAAUCCAGCAGGUCGCUUGCAAGUUCCCUCAAACGUCCUGACGAACACUCGAGAAAGAUCUACCCAGGUGUAAAUGUUGCUGGGAGCUAACUGAUUCAACCAUGCCCUGGCUGAACCUCCUAGAAUAAGUGGCAAAUGUUUCAUGGCCACCUCAUCAUUACCGCCACCAAUCUGAACAGCCACUCGGUAGUCUUCGAGCCAAGUUUCAGGCUUAGACUCUCCGGUGAACUUAUUCACCCCAUUCGCCAACCUGAAGUUGGGGGGUAUCACUGCGGUUCUGAUCGCUCUGCGAAAACAUUCUGGACCUGAAACAUGGACUCGGCUGCUUGUGGGCACAUCUCUGUCAUGACCACCUCUAUGAGCUCUGUUUCAGUCGACCAAACCUUGCACGAUGAUGGAUCUCGCGUCAAAGCCUGGCUCUCUGGGGUCGACUGGAGCUCUCUGCCCAACACUGAGCUGGCUUCUAUCAUCUUGCUGCCGAUGGGCGUUAGACCCACUUCUCGGAGGAGGAGUGGGCACUCGACGCCUGUCAUCACGAUCAAAUCGAUCAUCAUAGUGGUCCCGCCGGCCUUCACGUCCCACGCGCCUCGGAGGCGACCUUGGACUGUCAGCUGACUGAAUAGUAUUCGCAGCAACAGAUCGACUGUGAAUCCUGUUAGGUGACUGUGACACAGCUGAAUUCUGAUCUCCUGCUGCCCGGAGCAAAUCUCUGAUCUGCAUCAAGCCUCUUCCAGCCUCUGACUGAGAGGGCUGAAUUGACUCUGCUAUGCGGGCUGCAGCUGCCAAAUUCUGAAUUGGGGUUCGAUAUACCUGAGUUGGUUGCGGAAAGAGCUGACGUCGAUUGGAGUUAGUCGCUCGUUGACGCGCAUGCUCGUCGAGUGCUCGCUGAAGGUUCUCCAGUCGAGUGUGUUCAGCCAGGUUGGCUAAACGCGCCUCUUCCAGGGCACGAGCCUCAGGAGUUUCUCCUGCAAUGGGAGUAUGCAGGGCAUCCAUGUUCUGGCGGCGAAGUUCUUCCCUCUGCUGGGAAGUGAGCGGCUCGGGUUGGUACUCUUCAUGGGCUUGAGCAGGGUCAUCCUCGUCGUCCAUCCCGUCGCCACGGGGGAAACCGGGAGGACUACGGGGCCCAUUGACCAUCAGGACCUCCGCCGUCGGAUCACUGCUAUCGCACUCGGAUGCAGCCUCUACAGAGCCAGUCGACAGGUCGAAUAGGCCGUAGAGAGAUCCGUCAGGCUCAAUCGCCGCGACUUGGGUGGUGGCCGAUUGGCGAGCCACUGCGUGUCUCACCCAUCGCUGGAGCCUCAACCGACCGGAGCGCUUGCGCUGGCGGGAGACAGGGAGGGAGGACGGCGCAGGAGUCGACCGGUAUGGGGUCGACGGCUGCCGCAGCAAGACGCUGCGGACACACACCCGAAAGUGCAUCGCCCCGCGGACGGGGAGCGCUCCGAUGUCGAGUGGUGCCUCCUGGAGCCAAGCGGAGUCGUCGGCGAUGAAAGUGAGCGCACCGAGACGGAUCUCGUGGCCCUCGACCAGAGCUCUGCCAGAAACCAUGAUGAAGGCGAUCGGACAAAUUGCAACUUCUCCAAAAAAGUCGCUAAGACACCUGCCCCACGGUGGGCGCCAACUGUCGUGGUUCUAAGUCUGACAGUAGAAUGGGGGGUAAGUAUGGAAAGGCAAGGUCCUAGCUAUGGAGUAGUUGUACACACGGGUGUUUAGCGAGUUCAGGCCCUUCUCUGAGGAAGUAACAGCCCUACGUCUCGGAGCCCGGAGGCGGUCGACUGAUCUCUGUGUAUAUGAGUUACAGGGGUGCGAAACUUUCUACCAGUGGAGGGGGGUGGCUUAUAUAGAGGACGCCAGGACCCCAGCCAGCCCACGUAGGGGGGGUAAAAGUACAUUAAGGCUGGGCGUUAUUGGUAACGCCCUACAUAAAGUGUCAUCAUGACCAUUAAGACUAUUUAAUUACAAACCGUUUGGAUGCAGAGUAGAUCCUGAACUUCCGAUAGUCGAGUGCGUCUUCAUGGUCGAGUGUCUUCUAGCCGGUCGAGUGGAGUCUCCCUUGGUCGAGUGGAGCUUCUUUUGGUCGACUGGAAGGUAGCUUCAUAUGAUAAUGUCCUUGGGCAUGGUAUCCUAGAUAGGUCCAUGACCCUACCCUAGGUACAUAACCUCAUCAGUGACCCCGUGGACGAAAAAGGUCUGAACAUUUUUCUGAUUUGCACACACCCUGUCGAUCCUGGACACACCAGAAAAGGCCAAUCUUUUUUAUUUAGCUGCCUAUGUUUUUACACAAAACUAUGAAGAACAUAGAGGGCAGCUUUGGGUCACGGAAAAAACUUAUACUGUGUGCAAAAGAAAUCAUGAUUUCAGCAGCACUGAAUAUGUACAGCAAAGGUCGAAACAAUUUAUCAAAAAAUGUGUCUGUGUUUCAUUCUUCCGCAAUACAAUAAGAAGUCCACCACUAAAGCUUUUUCCUCCUCCACAAGUAAAGUCCCUUAUCCUCCGGUCGGCGUCGCCGUCGGUCCGCCCCAUCUCUGAUGGCCUCUGGGCCAUGGAGUCGCCGAGGAUCCCAGCCCUUGUUCUCCUCCUUGUUAGAUUUAGCGUCUUGGUUGGGGUUGGGUGGAGGCGGCGAUGUCCCUUAAUAGGAAUAAUGUAUGAUUGGUUAUCUUUGUAAGUAUCUUCGAGUUAUCAGUUUGGUUUGGCCUACUAGAUUUAUCUUUCUUGCAAUGUUAGAAGUGCUUAGCUUUGGGUUCAAUCUUGCGGUGUCCUUUCCCAGUGACAGCAGGGGCAGCAAGGCACGUAUUGUAUUGUUGUCAUCGAGGAUAAAAAGAUGGGGUUUAUAUCAUAUUGCUUGAGUUUAUCCCUCUACAUCAUGUCAUCUUGCCUAAUGUGUUACUUUGUUCUUAUGAAUUUAAUACUCUAUAUGCAAGCUGGAUAGCGGUCAAUGUGUGGAGUAAUAGUAGUAAAUGCAGGCACGAGUCGGUCUACUUGUCGUGGACGUGAUGCCUUGAUACGUCUCCAACGUAUCUAUAAUUUUUUAUUGUUCCAUGCUAUUAUAUUACCCGUUUUGGAUGUUUAUGGACUUUACUUUACACUUUUAUAUUAUUUUUGGGACUAACCUACUAACCGGAGACCCAACCCGUAUUGCUGUUUUUUUUGCCUAUUUCAGUGUUUUGAAGAAAAGGAAUAUCAAACAGAGUCCAAACGGAAUGAAACCUUCAGGAGCGUGAGUUUUGGAACAAACGUGAUCCAAGGGACUUGGAGUGCAAGUCAAGAAGCAAUCGAGGCGGCCACCAGGGUGGAGGGCGCCCCCUAUCUCGUGGGCCCCUCGGGCGUCCACCGACCUACUUCUUCCUCCUAUAUAUACCCACGUACCACGAGAACAUCAAAGGCGACCACGAAAAACUAUUUCCACCACCGUAACCUUCUGUAUUCACGAGAUCCCAUCUUGGAGCCUUCGUCAUUGCUCCAUCGGAGAGGGAAUCAACCAUGGAGGGCUUCUACAUCAACACCAUAGCCUCUCCAAUUAGUUGUGAGUAGUUUACCACAGACCUUCGGGUCCAUAGUUAUUAGCUAGAUGGCUUCUUCUCUCUCUUUGAAUCUCAAUAUCAUGUUCUCCUCGAUCUUCUUGGAGAUCUAUACGGUGUAACUCUUUUUGCGAUGUGUUUGUCUCGAUCCGAUGAAUUGUGGGUUUAUGAUCAAGUUUAUCUAUGAGAAAUAUUUGAAUCUCCUCUGAAUUCUUUUAUGUGUGAUUAAGUUAUCUUUGCAAGUCUCUUCAAAUUAUCAGUUUGGUUUGGCCUACUAGAUUGAUCUUUCUUGCAAUGGGAGAAGUUCUUAGCUUUGGGUUCAAUCUUGCGGUGUCCUUUCCCAGUGACAGCAGGGGCAGCAAGGCAUGUAUUGUAUUGUUGUCAUCGAGGAUAAAAAGAUGGGGUUCAUAUCAUAUUGCAUGAGUUUAUCCCUCUACAUCAUGUCAUCUUUCUUAAUGCGUUACUCUGUUAUUUAUGAACUUAAUACUCUAGAUGCAUGCUGGAUAGCGGUCGAUGUGUGGAGUAAUAGUAGUAGAUGCAGGCAGGAGUCGGUCUACUUGUUAUGGACGUGAUGCCUAUAUACAUGAUCAUGCCUAGAUAAUCUCAUAAUUAUUUGCUUUUCUAUCAAUUGCUCGACAGUAAUUUGUUCACCCACCGUAAUACUUAUGCUAUCUUGAGAGAAGCCACUAGUGAAACCUAUGGCCCCCGGGUCUAUCUUUUAUCAUAUAAGCUUUCAAUCUACUUUUAUUUGCAUCUUUACUUUUCCAAUCUAUAUUAUAAAAUACCAAAAAUAUAUUUAUCUUAUCAUACUAUCUCUAUCAGAUCUCACUUUCGUAAGUGGCCGUGAAGGGAUUGACAACCCCGUUAUUGCGUUGGUUGCGAGUUCUUGUUUGUUUGUGUAGGUGCGUCGGACUUUUGAGGAGCCUCCUACUGGAUUGAUACCUUGGUUCUCAAAAACUGAGGGAAAUACUUACGCUACUAUUGUUGCAUCACCCUUUCCUCUUCAAAGAAAACCAACGCAAGCUCAAGACGUAGCAUGCCUAUAUACAUGAUCAUGCCUAGAUAUUCUCAUAACUAUGCACUUUUCUAUCAACUGCUCGACAGUAAUUUGUUCACCCGCCGUAAUAUUUAUGCUAUCUUGAGAGAAGCCACUAGUGAAACCUAUGGCCCCGGGUCUAUUUUCCAUCAUAUAAGUUUCCGAUCUACUUUAUUUAGCAAUCUUUACUUUUCAAUCUAUAUCAUAAAAAUACCAAAAAUAUUUAUCUUAUUAUUAUCUCUAUCAUAUCUCACUUUCGCAAGUGGCCGUGAAAAGAUUGACAACCCCUUUAUCGCGUUGGUUGCGAGGUUCUUGUUUGUUUAUGUAGGUACGAGGGACUUGCGUGUAGCCUCCUACUGGAUUGAUACCUUGGUUUUCAAAAGUUGAGGGAAAUACUUACGCUACUUUGCUGCAUCACCCUUUCCCGCUUCAAGGGAAAACCAACGCAGUGCUCAAGAGGUAGCAAGAAGGAUUUCUGGCGCCGUUGCCGGGGAGGUCUACGCACAAGUCAAGACAUACCAAGUACCCAUCACAAACUCUUCUCCUCGCAUUACAUUAUUUUCCAUUUGCCUCUUGUUUUCCUUUCCCCCACUUCACCCUUGCCGUUUUAUUCGCGCUCCCUUUCCCGUUCGCCUCUUUUUCCGCUUGCUUCUUGUGGUACUUGCUUUCACUAUGUCUGAAACUGGGGAGGUUAUCAUUGAUAAGGACAAUAGUAAUAACAUGGGAAACUUUGAUGCUUUUGAUGAUCCUACUGAAGAAACCACUAUCUUACAUACUAAAAGAUUUCGAAUCGGUAGUGGUAAUAUUAUUGGAAAAGGGGUUAUUCAAGAUUCUUUACUUGUGUUGGUGCUUUACCUUCUAUGGGUGGAUCUAUUCUUCAUAGAACUAGUAGUCUUGCGGAUGCUAUAUCCUUGCUUAUAGUUGAACUUGAAAGACAGUUUAUGCAUAUGCAUCCUUGCAUACAAAGGAUUUUUCUAGAAUUUUCCAAUAUUGAGCAUUCUUCUGUUAAGCGCGCAGCUACUAUCUUUUUGGCACAUGAGUUCAGAUUUAUAAUAAAAGAAGCCAGAGAAAUCUUUGCGCACUAUAGGGUGGACGCUGGUCGCCCUCCCAUUUAGGCGAUCCUUUUUAAUCAAGAAGACAUAAUGCGUUUACAAUCCUUAGAUCGUGUUGCUUUUAAUGAAAACCUUAGGAAAAAGGUUCCUACCGAUGUUCUAGUUGAUAGAAUCUCUGAACUUAAUGAUGAUUUUGCUAUUCAUAACAAUGGGUUGGGAUUUUCUCUUGAGCAAAGGCUCAUGACUUUUUGCCAAAAGAAUGCUUAUAAUGAUGAAUUGGUUGUGUAAUAUGAAGGGCCAAAGGAGGAACCCAUACCUCCCGAGCUUGAUCUUGGGGACUUUUGUCCCAUUAAAUUUAGCCCUUUUGAUUACUUUUGCUUGCCACAAAGAAAACUUGUUGUUGAACGUAGGGAAUAUGAGAUGAGUUUUCGUGAUUUACCUUAUCAUUACGGCAAUAAUUAGAUCUAUUCUCGCUUUUAUGCCUAGCUAGGGGCGUUAAACGAUAGCGCUUGUUGGGAGGCAACCCAAUUUUAUUUUUGUUCUUUACUUUUUGCUCCUGUUUAGUAUUAAAUAAUUCAUCUAGCCUCUGGUUAGAUGUGGUUUUAUGUUUUAGUUAGUGUUUGUGCCAAAUAGAACCUAUAGGAUCAUCUUGGGUGAUAGUUAAUUUGAUCUUGCUAAAAAACAGAAACUUUUGCGCACACGAGAAUAAUUUUAAUAAAUCACAGAAACAUGAUUUUGAGUUGAUUAUUUUUUAAGAAGAUUAAUAGACAAAUUUACUAGGACUUCCUAUUUUCGUAGGACUUUUAAGGUUCUAGAAGUAUUCGAAAGUUACAGAUUACUACAGACUGUUCUGUUUUUGACAGAUUCUGUUUUUUGUGUGUUGUUUGCUUAUUUUGAUGAAUCUAUGGCUAGUAUCGGGGGGUAUGAACCAUAGAUAAGUUGGAAUACUGCAGGUUUAACACCAAUAUAAAUAAAGAAUGAUUUCAUUACAGUACCUUAAAGUGGUGGUUUGCUUUUUUGCACUAACGGAGCUCAUGAGAUUUUUUGUUGAGUUUUGUGUUGUGAAGUUUUCAAGUUUUGGGUAAAGAUUUGAUGGAUUAUGGAAUAAGGAGUGGCAAGAGCCUAAGCUUGGGUAUGCUCAAGGCACCCCAAGAUAAAUUCAAGGACAACCAAAAGCCUAAGCUUGGGGAUGCCCCGGAAGGCAUCCCCUUGUCUUCAUCUAUCAGUAACUUUACUUGGAGCUAUAUUUUUAUUCACCACAUGAUAUGUGUUUUGCUUGGAGCGUCUUGAAUGAUAUGAGUCUUUGAUUUUUAGUUUACCACAAUCAUCCUUGCUGUACACACAUUUUGGGAGAGACACACAUGAAUCGGAAUUUAUUAGAAUACUCUAUGUGCUUCACUUAUAUCUUUUGAGCUAGAUAAUUUUGCUCUAGUGCUUCACUUAUAUCUUUUUAGAGCACGGCGGUGGUUUUAUUUUGUAGAAAUUAUUGAUCUCUCAUGCUUCACUUAUAUUAUUUUGAGAGUCUUUUAGAACAGCAUGGUAUUUGCUUUGGUUAUAAAAUUAGUCCUAAUAUGAUGGGCAUCCAAGUUGGGUAUAAUAAAAAUUGUCAUAGAAAGUGCAUGAAACACUAUAAGAAAUUUGAUACUUGAUAAUUGUUUUGAGAUAUAAAGGUGGUAAUGUUAGAGUCAUGCUAGUUGGGUAAUUAUGAAAUUGAGAAAUACUUGUGUUAAAGUUGGCAAGUCCCGUAGCAUGCACGUAUGGUAAACGUUGUGUGACAAAUGUGUUGCACGGGGUGUUCUUUUGAUUGCCUUCCUUAUGUGUGGAGGUCGGGAUCGCGCGAUGGUUAACUCCUACCAACCCUUCCCCUAGGAGCAUGCGUAGUAGUACUUUGCUUCGAGGGCUAAUAAACUUUUGCAAUAAGUAUAUGAGUUCUUUAUGACUAAUGUGAGCCCAUGGAUUAUACGCACUCUCACCCUUCCACCAUUGCUAGCCUCUCUUGUGCCGCGCAACUUUCGCCAGUAUCAUACACCCACCAUUUACCUUCCUCAAAACAGCCACCAUACCUACCUAUUAUGGAAUUUCUAUAGCCAUUCCAAGAUAUAUUGCCAUGCAACUCUCCACCGUUCCGUUUAUUAUGACACGCUCCAUCAUUGUCAUAUUGCUUUUGCAUGAUCAUGUAGUUGACAUCGUAUUUGUGGCAAAGCUACCGUUAUAAUUCUUUCAUACAUGUCACUCUUGAUUCAUUGCAUAUCCUGGUACACCGCUGGAGGCAUUCACAUAGAGUCAUAUUUUGUUCUAAGUAUUGACUUGUAAUUCUUGAGUUGUAAAUCAAUAAAAGUGUGAUGAUCUUCAUUAUUAGAGCAUUGUCCCAAGUGAGGAAAGGAUGAUGGAGACUAUGAUUCCCCCACAAGUCACUAUGAGACUCCGGACCUCAUGAUAAAUAAAAGAGGCCAAAGAAGCCCAAAUAAAAAAGAGAGGCCAAAGAAGCCCACCCAAAAAAAUGAGAGAAAAAGAGAGAAGGGACAUUGUUACUAUGCUUUUUCCAGACUUGUGCUUCAAAGUAGCACCAUGAUCCUCAUGGUAGAGUCUCCUAUGUUGUCACUUUCAUAUACUUGUGGGAAUUUUUCAUUAUAGAACUUGGCUUGUAUAUUACAAUGAUGGGCUUCCUCAAAAUGCCCUAGGUCUUUGUGAGUAAGCGAGUUGGAUGCACACCCACUUAGUUUCUUUUGUUGAGCUUUCACACAUUUAUAGCUCUAGUGCAUCUGUUGCAUGGCAAUCCCUACUCACUCACGUUGAUAUCUAUUAAUGGGCAUCUCCAUAGGCCGUUGAUACGCCUAGUCAAUGUGAGACUUUCUCCUUUUUUGUCUUCUCCACACAACCUCCAUCAUCAUAUUCUAUUCCACCCAUAGUGCUAUAUCCAUGGCUUACGCUCAUGUAUUGCGUGAGAGUUGAAAACGCUGAAGCGCGUUAAAAAGUAUGAACCAAUUGCUUGGCUGAAACCGGGGUUAUGCAUGAUGGGAGUAUUUUGUGUGACAAAAAUGAAGCAUAGCCUAACUAUAUGAUUUUGUAGGGAUAAGCUUUCUUUGGCUACAUUAUUUUGAUAAGACAUGAUUACUUGUUAGUAUGCUUAAAGUAUUACUAUUUUUAUGUUAAUAUGAACUUUUAUUUUGAAUCAUUUGGAUCUGAACAUUCAUGCCACAAUAAAGAAAAUUACAUUGAGAAAUAUGCUAGGUAGCAUUCCACAUCAAAAAUUCUGUUUUUAUCAUUUACCUACUCGAGGACGAGCAGGAAUUAAGCUUGGGGAUGCUUGAUACGUCUCCAAGGUAUCUAUAAUUUUUUAUUGUUCCAUGCUAUAUAUUACCCGUUUUGGAUAUUUAUGGGUUUUACUAUACACUUGUAUAUCAUUUUUUGGACUAACCUAUUAACCGGAGGCCCAGCCCAAAUUGUUGUUUUUGCCUAUUUCAGUGUUUCGCAGAAAAGGAAUAUCAAACGGAGUCCAAACGGAAUGAAACCUUCGGGAGAGUUAUUUUUAAAACAAACGCAAUCCAGGAGACUUGGAGUGGAUGUCAAGAAAAAAACAAGGCGGCCAUGAGGCAGGGAGGCGCGCCCUAGGGGGGUGGGCGCGCCCCCCACCCUCGUGGGCCCCUCGUGGCUCCUCUGACCGACUUUCUUCGCCUAUAUAUAUCUACAUACCCUGAAAACAUCCAGGAGCACCACGAAACCCUAUUUCCACAACCGCAACCUUCUGUACCCGUGAGAUCCCAUCUUGGAGCUUUUUCCGGCGCUCCGCCGGAGGGGGAAUCGAUCACGGGGGGCUUCUACAUCAACACCAUAGCCUCUCCGAUGAGUUGUGAGUAGUUUAUCACAGACCUUCGGGUCCAUAGUUAUUAGCUAGAUGGCUUCUUCUCUCUCUUGAAUCUCAAUACAAAGUUCUCCUCGAUCUUCUUGGAGAUCUAUUCGAUGUAAUUCUUUUUGCGAUGUGUUUGUGGAGAUCCAUGAAUUGUGGGUUUAUGAUCAAGUUUAUCCAUGAGAAAUAUUUGAAUCUCCUCUAAAUUCUUUUAUAUAUGAUUGGUUAUCUUUGCAAGUCUCUUCGAAUUAUCAGUUUGCUUUGGCCUACUAGAUUUAUCUUUUUUGCAAUGGGAGAAGUGCUUAGCUUUGGGUUCAAUCUUGCGGUGUCCUUUCCCAGUGACAGCAGGGGCAGCAAGGCACGUAUUGUAUUGUUGCCAUCGAGGAUAAAAAGAUGGGGUUUAUAUCAUAUUGCUUGAGUUUAUCCCUCUACAUUAUGUCAUCUUGCCUAAUGCGUUACUUUGUUCUUAUGAACUUAAUACUCUAGAUGCAUGCUGGAUAGCGGUCGAUAUGUGGAGUAAUAGUAGUAGAUGCAGGCAGCAAUCGGUCUACUUGUCGCGGACGUGAUGCCUAUAUACAUGAUCAUGCCUAGAUAUUCUCAUAACUAUGCACUUUUCUAUCAAUUGCUCGACAGUAAUUUGUUCACCACCGUAAUACGUAUGCUAUCUUGAGAGAAGCCACUAGUGAAACCUCUGGCCCACGGGUCUAUCUUUUAUCAUAUAAGCUUUCAAUCUACUUUUAUUUGCAUCUUUACUUUUCCAAUCUAUAUUAUAAAAAACCAAAAAUAUAUUUAUCUUAUCAUACUAUCUCUAUCAGAUCUCACUUUCGCAAGUGGCCGUGAAGGGAUUGACAACCCCUUUAGCGCAUUGGUUGCGAGGUUCUUGUUUGUUUGUGUAGGUACGAGGGACUUGCGCGUAGCCUCCUACUGGAUUAAUACCUUGGUUCUCAAAAGCUGAGGGAAAACUUACGCUACUUUGCUGCAUCACCCUUUCCUCUUCAAGGGAAAACCAACACAGGGCUCAAGUGGUAGCAAUGGGUUUUCCACUGAAUCUCACAUUCCAGGAUCCUAGCAUUUAUAGCAUGAAAUAUAAACUCUUAAUAAUGAACCUGGAAAUAUAAUAAUAUUAUAUUAUUGCCUCUAGGGCAUAUUUCCAAUAGUAUUCAACUUGCACUGAAGUCAAUAAUCUAGUUAGCACAUUUUUAUUUACACCAAUGGCAGUCUGGUGUUUGUCCAUACUCAGCUUGUGGUAUAGCCUUCAUCCCAUUGGAUCUUGAAAACUUCAUAUCCACGUGUAUCAUAUGCAUUUCAAUGCCUCUAUCAUGAUGGCUUUGUAUGUAUUGAAUCACUAGAAGGACCUAUGAUUCCUUGGACUGAGCUAUAGAACCACUAUUAAGUAUAGUGUUUCAUUGGCACAAUCAUCUAGAAAUCAUAACAAUCUCAUAAAUGAAAGUGUUAUUGAUCACUCUCCAUUGUUGCUUCUAAAGCAACAAUCUACUCAGCCCUCUGUUAUAGAUUUCACCACAGUAACCAACAACCCAACAAACACACUGCAAAAAACAUUACAUCGGAUAGAACUCCAAGAAGAUCGAGGAGAACAUUGUAUUGAAGAUCAAAGAGAGAAGAAGCCACUAGCUACUAGCUAUGGACUCGUAGGUCUGCGGUGAAUUGCUCACACAUCAUCGGAAGGCGGCACGGAUGAUGCAGAAGCCCUCAGUGAUCGAUUCCCCCUCCGGCGGAGUACCGGUAAAGCCCUCCAGAUGGAAUCGCGGAAGAAUAGAAGCUUGUGGUGGUGGAAAAAGUGUUUCGGAUGGCUCUCUGUUGGUUUGGGAAUAUUUGUGAAUUUAUAGGCUUGGAAUUAGGUCAAACGGAGUUGCGUGGGCCCAUAAGCUCAGGGGGCGCACUUUGUGAGCUCGUGGCUCUCUUGUAGCUCUUCUGGCCUCCUCCCGAACCUUCUAGGACCCCUUCUGGUCCAGAGAAAAUAACCAUAAUUCAUCGUAUUUGGACUUCGUUUGGUAUUGUUUUUCUGAAAAGCCAAAACAAGUAAAAAAUAGGAACUAGCACUGGGCAAUGGGUUAAUAGGUUAGUCCCAAAAGUGGUAUAAAAUAGCAUAAAAAUGCAUAUAAUCCAGGAUUGAUAAUAUAAUAGCAUGAAACAAUCAAAAGUUAUAGAUAUAUUGGAGACGUAUCAGCAUUCCCAAGCUUAAUUCCUGCUCGUCCUUGAGUAGGUAAAUGAGAAUAACAGAAUUUUUGUGUAUACAUGUAUUAUUUGUAGUGAGAUAUGUACAUGACAAAGAGCGAUACUACUGCCAGGAUCAGACCAAUGUACAUGACAUAAGAAAGAGGUGGCACAUCUCUGAAUGCAAGGUCCAUGGCAACAAGCAGACGCAAUGGAAAAGACAGAUUGUUUUGUCAUCUUUUGCAGCGCCAUCCUUUAGUAUGUCAGGGAGCAGCUAAGGAAUGAAAUCAUGCUCCAUUUUGGAUCAUAAGAUUUUAAUUUGACCAUAAGCUAAGCCUCCACCACACGAAAAGUGAUGAAAAUACAAAAUUUGUUAUGUGAUGCAAUACAAUGCAAAUCUUAUGUACUCCCUCUGUAAAGAAAUAUAAGAGCGUUUAGAUCAUUACUUUACACGUUACCAUCGUAAUCUCAAGCUUUGAAUUUAGUACUACUCAUUAAUCAAUUGUGUGAUCUUAAGAAAAUGCUAUACCUCUAAAAUGAACAACUAAAAGGUCAUGAGACACGUAGUGAUCUCCAAAUAAAUUGGUUGUUCUAGGGGAAAAGUGAUGAAAAGUGUUGUUCUAGGGGAAAAGUGAUGACAAGCAUGGAUUAUCUGUUUCGUCAUCUUGGGAGGGGGAGGGUCAUCCACAUGACCACAAGCCAAGCCCACACCCCACGUCAAGUGAUGCAAAUCCCAAUCAUGUCAUGUCAUGAUUUACAAUGCAAAUCUUCUUUAAAACUUUACACAUUGGCAUCACUAUCUUAAGCUUGGCAUUUGGUACUCCCUACGAUCCAUAUUUGUUGUCGCUCAAACGGAUGUAUCUAGCACUAAAAUACAUCUAGAUACAUCUGUUUCAGCGACAACUAAUAUGAAUCAAAGGGAAUACUACUAAUUAGUUGUGUGAUCUUAAUAAAACACCAUGCUUCUAAAAUGAACAGGUCACGAGGCGUGUACCAAUCUCCAGAUGAAUUUGAUGUUCUACAGAAUUCAUAUGUGCGGAAAGAUAAGACUGAAAACCGCACACUUACCCGGGAUAGGAUGGGAUAUUUUGAGAAAUAGAUAAGGAUUAGUUCAGGUUUCUCCCAUAUAUACGAAAUGACUGGACGAUGACUAAUUAAACGAGAGACAACAAACCACUUAUCUUCCUUUAUGACUCAAUUGAUCGAGAGCCUUCCCAAGUUGCUUUUGCGGUUUUGUUGGUCACAAUGCAGAUGCUUUGAACCUUUGCACAACCGUGGGCAUGUGGCUCCCGUUAAAUAGCCACAAGAUACCAUAAAAUUAGCACUUCCAAAGUUCCCAUUUACUCUCUCUUCCUCUCAAGUCUAACCAAAGCCCAACAAACCACCACCUCGGCCAUGGCAACCACCCUCGCCACCGACGUCCGCCUCUCCAUCGCGCACCAGACCCGCUUCGCCCUCCGUCUCGCCUCCACCAUCUCAUCCAACCCUAAGUCUGCUGCCAGCAAUGCCGCCUUCUCCCCGGUCUCCCUCUACUCCGCACUUAGCCUCCUCGCCGCUGGCGCGGGCAGUGCCACUCGGGACCAACUCGUCGCCACACUCGGGACAGGCAAGGUCGAGGGACUCCACGCGCUCGCCGAGCAGGUGGUCCAGUUUGUGCUCGCCGACGCGUCCUCCACUGGUGGUCCGCNNN
rnacentral:lncRNA from 1 species